rnacentral:rRNA from 1 species
UACGUAGGGUGCAAGCGUUAAUCGGAAUUACUGGGCGUAAAGCGUGCGCAGGCGGUUUUGUAAGUCUGUCGUGAAAGCCCGGGGCUCAACCCCGGGAUGCCGCCCAAGACUGGUCUCCUUGAGGACGGAAGAGGGGAGUGGAAUUCCUGGUGUAGCGGUGAAAUGCGUAGAGAUCAGGAGGAACACCCGUGGCGAAGGCGGCUCCCUGGUCCGUUUCUGACGCUGAGACGCGAAAGCGCGGGGAGCGAACGGG